CUUUUGCUCUCUCUCUCCCUCUCCCCCUCCUUCUGUCCAGUCCAUAAACCACUCUGAGAUUUUUUUUUUCAAGGUUUAAAGUGAGUGUGCUGUUCUUACAUACAUUCAAAUUUGGGAAAGCUCCCUGAUCUGAGCUGUAAGUGUAGGCAUGCACACUGGUUCUUUGGAAAGGUGUAUGGACUCAUGACUGACACUUUGAGUGCCUUUUCUACCCUCACCUAGGACUAUAAGCAGUGGAUUUUACUUUUUUGGGUGCAGGUCUCAAGCUGUUUUUCUGUCCUGUGGAUAACAGAUCUUCAUUCACAUCUCUGGAUCAUUUGAUUUUAUAAGCCAAUACAGUCAUACAAAAAAGACAUUUAUUCUUAUUGCAUCUCAACUUCUUCUAGGUGUAGGAGGUUUUAAAUUGUUGCUGAAGGAAUAAGGUGACUGACACUAUAUCAGGUGUGCAUAGAAGAAACCUGCUACUACCUACCUGACAGGUGACCAACCUCACAUCUUCAGUCAGAGCCACAUUGAAUGUGGAUUGCUAUGGAAUUCCAAUAGUGAGUUUGUGAAUUACAUGAGCCCACUUAGAAAAGCUGGGUAAAUUAUAAUUACGUCGAAAAGUGCUUUUGUUUACUUUUUCCAAUUGUUUAUUGCAUGCGGCGUAUGAUAAACUGAUUAUCAGCAUCUUAUUGCUGAUUAAAUGUCAUUAAUACGUUAGUACGUACCUGAAACAAAAAUUUGAGCAGAAUAGAUUUUAUUCUAAGUACAUAACUAUAUUUAUGUAUCAUCAUGUGAUUAGAAUUGUAUGUGAGCGUGUGCUUGUUUGCUAAACUUGAAUUUCCAGAUCUUUGGCUCCCUCUGCAGAACAAAUUGGACAGCAGAACGAAAUAGAAAUGUGAAUGUCUAUUUUUUAACAUUUUCUAACCUUUAGGAAUGUAUAAAUGAUCUACUAUGGAAUUGUCUUACUUGUAUGACCUAUUCAUAUACACCUGUCACACUAUUACUUGUAAUGAAACAUUCACCCUAUGCAACUAAUAUUAAUAUCAUUAAUUGAUACACGUGUAGCAAACAGGUAGCCUUCCAUCUGUACAUCUGUUACAGAAAUACAACUCGCACAAUGCCUUAGCACUCUGAGAUGUGCAGUUGUACCGCAACCUGAGUGCUACAUGUAAGCUGGCAUUAACAUACAGUGACCAUCAUUUUGCUAUGUUUUGGUCCAGACAUUAAUUAAUAUUCUCUAAAUUUUACUCAUGCACUUUCAUGUAGCAUAUCAAAAUCAGCAUUCAUUAAUUAAUUAUUUGGCAAAUGUAUGUAGAUCAAUAAUUUUGUAGCUGAUCUUGGCUGAAUAUGUACAUACUACAUAUAGAUAUAGAAAAGAUGUGUGAUUUAUUUUGCAGUACCAUGAGAAGUUUAUCUAAGACAAGUUCAUUGACAGACAAGCAAAAUCUGAUGGGUUAUAUAAGCAUAGCUAUUUGUCAAGUUGUAUAACCCUUGCAUAAACAAAAUGUCAUUGCAAACACAAUUUGCAUAUUUUGCAGAAAAUAUUUUUAUUGCGUGUAAAAAUGGACCCUUUUGGUAAUGUUUAAAAAAAAAAAAAAAAAAAAGACAUUAAAAGCUCAGUGUGUACAGAGUGAAUUCAAUCCUGCAGUUUCUAUAGUAACCAUUUGGAAAGCCUAGGUGGUUUAAAUAUGGCAACAUUUGCUGUUACAUUAUUGUCACAAAAUAAUUCACUUAUAAUAUUACUAAUAAGAGUACAGCUUUGAAAUUCCAUCGUAAUGCCCCCAAAAGAUCGUAUUUUAUCUUUGCACCCUUUAGAAGGCAACAGGAGAAUAAAUAACUGGACUAAAUGCUGGUGUCUUGGGGUUGCAUCAUGAUUACCUUGUAAAACAGUGAUAUUCGCCUAUUAAAACA